UACAGAGGUCUCAAGCGUUGUUCGGAUUCAUUGGGCGUAAAGGGUGCGUAGGUGGCUGUGUAAGUCUGGUGUGAAAUCUCGGGGCUCAACCCCGAAACUGCAUCGGAUACUGCAUGGCUCGAGGACUGUAGAGGAGAGAGGAAUUCACGGUGUAGCAGUGAAAUGCGUAGAGAUCGUGAGGAAGACCAGUUGCGAAGGCGUCUCUCUGGGCAGUUCCUGACACUGAGGCACGAAGGCCAGGGGGGCAAACGGG
rnacentral:rRNA from 1 species